GUGGAGCCUGGCUCCACCUCUCCUAGACCCCAUUUAAGGGCUGACUGCCACCGAGGAAGAAUCUUUCUAGAGAUUACUCCCUUUGGAGUUUUUUCUGUGAGCCUAGGACACGGGAACCCCUGUGAUCAAAAUGAGGCAAGAAAUAGUAUUCUUCAAACUUUACAGACAGAACUAAGUGAUCUGGGUUUUCCCUCUGUUGGCUUUGAGGCACUUUUGCUAAAUGUGGUCGAUACUUGCAUCAGAGACAUUGUAGCAUCCAUUGAUACUCGACUGAGAUUGAUGGAGACAAGAUUCAUCAUAAACAGAAGCAGAAUAAAAUAUUUCUUCUUAAUUCAGUGUUGGAUCUCUCAUGGUAAAAAAAAAAAUGAUUUUGAAAAUACCUGUUUGAAGAUCUCUGCCACUGUAUCACUGAAGACUUCAUUUUAUAUUUCUAAUUAAAGAUCAAACCAUGAAAUAAUCCAAUUUUGCAAAGAUUUCAAGUAUCAGAAACUUUUCCCCAAGCAUUUGCUCUCCAAGUUUUAUUCAUCAGACUAAAAAACACCUGUAGGAUGAAUAGUCUUUAUGGAAUGUUUGUAUUUCCAUCCUACAUGAAAGAAUUUCCUAACAGAAUAAAAUGUUAAUUUACAACAGAAGAUCUGAUUUACAGAGUCUACAUAUUUCAAACUAAUGUCUCAGGCCAUUUCCCCAUCCCUUUCUGCAAACAGUUCCACUUCGUCAGUUGUUUAUUCUGAAUAUUCAAAUUAAUCAUUAACUGUUAUCUAAAAAAUAAAUAAAACAACAUAUACUAUGCUGAUGCACUCUCAGCAGAGUAAGCUAAAAGUGGAAUAUUGUCAUUUCCCAAUGAUUCUAUCUUCUAAUAAUAUUGGAUUAAAAACAAACAAACAAUACUUUGAUUUCUUUCAUGUAGUUUUCCACAGAAAUGAUUCCUUCUGUCAGUGCCACUAGGCUCUCCUCCAUGCACUUGGAAGGCAUCCAGCAAAAAGCCUCAGAGUUUACUUAUGCCCUACCAGGGGGGAGUCAAGAUAUGGUGCAUAUGCAAUGUGUCAUCCAGUGUUUUUAGAACAUGUAAAAGAUCCAGCUGUGCUGUUAAUUUAGUCCAGCCUCAGGGCUUCCACAGCAUAUCAGUGUUACUUGAUCUACAUUCUGGAGCCUACAUUCUAUUCUAAAGUCAGGAAAUUGUGAGGAAUAGAUCCUUAUUGAUCUCCUCACUUCACUAGAAAAGAGCAAGUGUUCAAAAUAAUAAUUAUUAUUCUAUAUCAAGAUAUAGUAGAUAAAAUGUGAUAGAAUAUAGAACUUUCCUGGCAAUAUCUGUAGGCAAGAUUAAAGAUCAGAAAAAAAUGUUGUAUUUUAAAAUUUCUUCAGUUUAUAUUUGUUUCCUAAUAAUUAAAAUAAACAUAAGAGUAAACAAAAAGUACCCAUUUGGCCACUUGGAAAGCAUUCUCUUAGCAAUGCUAAAUUAUUAGUUCAUAUAAUCCUGCUGUUUUAAGUUCCAAACUAAGACAAUAAAUAUUUUCAAAUAUUGUCACUGGCUUUUUGUAUUUGAUUUGAUCUUUUUCUUGUUUGUUUUUUAUAUCCAAAUUUCAUUUAUUUAAGGAAUCUUAAUUUAUAAACUGUUG
ensembl:lncRNA